UACGUAGGGUGCAAGCGUUAAUCGGAAUUACUGGGCGUAAAGCGUGCGCAGGCGGUUUUGUAAGUUUGUCGUGAAAUCCCCCGGGCUCAACCUGGGAAUGGCGAUGAAGACUGCAAGGCUAGAAUCUGGCAGAGGGGGGUGGAAUUCCACGUGUAGCAGUGAAAUGCGUAGAGAUGUGGAGGAACACCGAUGGCGAAGGCAGCCCCCUGGGCCAAUACUGACGCUCAUGCACGAAAGCGUGGGGAGCAAACAGG
rnacentral:rRNA from 1 species